rnacentral:rRNA from 1 species
CAGUCGACGGAUGAUGCCAGCUUGCUGGUGGAUUAGUGGCGAACGGGUGAGUAACACGUGAGCAACCUGCCCCUGACUUCGGGAUAACCGCGGGAAACCGUGGCUAAUACCGGAUAUGACGCGCUAUCGCAUGGUGGUGUGUGGAAAGAUUUAUCGGUUGGGGAUGGGCUCGCGGCCUAUCAGCUUGUUGGUGGGGUGAUGGCCUACCAAGGCGACGACGGGUAGCCGGCCUGAGAGGGUGACCGGCCACACUGGGACUGAGACACGGCCCAGACUCCUACGGGAGGCAGCAGUGGGGAAUAUUGCACAAUGGGCGCAAGCCUGAUGCAGCGACGCCGCGUGAGGGAUGACGGCCUUCGGGUUGUAAACCUCUUUCAGUAGGGAAGAAGGCCUUCGGGUUGACGGUACCUGCAGAAGAAGCGCCGGCUAACUACGUGCCAGCAGCCGCGGUAAUACGUAGGGCGCAAGCGUUGUCCGGAAUUAUUGGGCGUAAAGAGCUCGUAGGCGGUUUGUCGCGUCUGCUGUGAAAACGCGAGGCUUAACCUCGCGCCUGCAGUGGGUACGGGCAGACUAGAGUGCGGUAGGGGAGACUGGAAUUCCUGGUGUAGCGGUGGAAUGCGCAGAUAUCAGGAGGAACACCGGUGGCGAAGGCGGGUCUCUGGGCCGUUACUGACGCUGAGGAGCGAAAGCAUGGGGAGCGAACAGGAUUAGAUACCCUGGUAGUCCAUGCCGUAAACGUUGGGCACUAGGUGUGGGACCCAUUCCACSGGGUUCCGUGCCGCAGCUAACGCAUUAAGUGCCCCGCCUGGGGGAGUACGGCCGCAAGGCUWAAACUCAAAGGAAUUGACGGGGGCCCGCACCAGCGGCGGAGCAUGCGGAUWAAUYCGAUGCAACCCGAAGAACC